UACGUAGGGUGCGAGCGUUGUCCGGAAUUAUUGGGCGUAAAGAGCUCGUAGGCGGUGUGUCGCGUCGGCCGUGAAAACCUGGGGCUUAACUCUGGGCGUGCGGUCGAUACGGGCAUCACUAGAGUUCGGCAGGGGAGACUGGAAUUCCUGGUGUAGCGGUGAAAUGCGCAGAUAUCAGGAGGAACACCGGUGGCGAAGGCGGGUCUCUGGGCCGAUACUGACGCUGAGGAGCGAAAGCAUGGGGAGCAAACAGG
rnacentral:rRNA from 1 species